UUUUGAUGAUUUGGCAUGUUAUGGUCUGGUCAAUUUGAAAAUCCAGAAAUGAUAAAGUGUUCUCUGACUCACUGGUGACAGUGGAAAAUAUGGAAGACAAUAGUAUCUUUUUGGCUUGAGAAUUGUAUCUUCGUAGGUCCGUGGGCAACUCUCGUGCUUUCUCGGCUUGGCGAGAUAACCCUAUUAUGUAUCUAAGCGGACAUCGGUUUGAGUGGAUAUGACCUCCCUUUGAUGUAUUCUCGCUAUGUUUC
rnacentral:lncRNA from 1 species